UACUCGAGUGGCGAACGGGUGAGUAACACGUGGGUGAUCUGCCCUGCACUUCGGGAUAAGCUUGGGAAACUGGGUCUAAUACCGGAUAGGAGCCAUCUUUAGUGUAGUGGUUGGAAAGUUUUUUCGGUGUAGGAUGAGCUCGCGGCCUAUCAGCUUGUUGGUGGGGUAAUGGCCUACCAAGGCGGCGACGGGUAGCCGGCCUGAGAGGGUGUACGGCCACAUUGGGACUGAGAUACGGCCCAG
rnacentral:rRNA from 1 species